rnacentral:rRNA from 1 species
UACGAAGGGGACUAGCGUUGUUCGGAAUUACUGGGCGUAAAGCGCACGUAGGCGGAUUUGUUAGUCAGGGGUGAAAUCCCGGGGCUCAACCUCGGAACUGCCUUUGAUACUGCAAGUCUCGAGUCCGAUAGAGGUGGGUGGAAUUCCUAGUGUAGAGGUGAAAUUCGUAGAUAUUAGGAAGAACACCGGUGGCGAAGGCGGCCCACUGGAUCGGUACUGACGCUGAGUGAGCGAAAGCCAGGGGAGCAAACGGG